rnacentral:rRNA from 1 species
CCCUUAGACGUUCUGGGCCGCACGCGCGCUACACUGACGAAGGCAACGAGCUACUCUUCACCGAAAGGUGUGGGUAAUCUUUUGAAACUUCGUCGUGCUGGGGAUAGAUCCUUGCAAUUUUUGAUCUUAAACGAGGAAUUCCUAGUAAGCGCAAGUCAUCAACUUGCGUUGAUUACGUCCCUGCCCUUUGUACACACCGCCCGUCACUACUACCGAUUGAAUGGUUUAGUGAGGCCUUCGGAUCCGCGAUUUUAUUGUGGAGAAGUUGGACAAACUCAGUCAUUUAGAGGAAGUAAAAGUCGUAACA